rnacentral:rRNA from 1 species
UAAGGAUUGUAUAAUUGAUAAGUCAGAGUAGUAUUAGUUAAGGUCUUGAAACUCAAAAAAUUUGGCGGUAUUUUAGUCUAUUUAGAGGAACCUGUAGUAUAAUCGAUAAUCCACGAUGGACCUCACUUAAUUUUGUUUUUCAGUUUGUAUACCGCUGUUAUUUGAAGAUUUUAUAAGAAUAUUAAUUUUCAUAGUUUUUUAUUAAAAAAUAUAUCAGGUCAAGGUGCAGCUUAUGAUUAAGAAUUUAUGGGUUACAAUAAAAUUAUUUAUACGGAUAUUAAUAUGAAAUUAUUUUUUGAAGGUGGAUUUAAUAGUAAAUUUUUAUAGAUAGUAUAAUUGAUU